UUUGGGGGUGCCGCCACGAAAAGGCGGCUGAGAUCAUACCCAUGGAAUCUGAUCCGGAUAAUGCCGGCGUAGAGAACAAAACUUAU
rnacentral:ncRNA from 1 species